rnacentral:rRNA from 1 species
GGGGAAUUUUCCGCAAUGGGCGAAAGCCUGACGGAGCAAUACCGCGUGAGGGAGGAAGGCUCUUGGGUUGUAAACCUCUUUUAUCAGGGAAGAACCAAAUGACGGUACCUGAAGAAUCAGCAUCGGCUAACUCCGUGCCAGCAGCCGCGGUAAUACGGAGGAUGCAAGCGUUAUCCGGAAUUAUUGGGCGUAAAGCGUCCGCAGGUGGCUCAUCAAGUCUGCUGUCAAAGGCAGGGGCUUAACCCCUGAAAGGCAGUGGAAACUGGAGAGCUAGAGUGCAGUAGGGGUAGAGGGAAUUCCCGGUGUAGCGGUGAAAUGCGUAGAGAUCGGGAAGAACAUCGGUGGCGAAAGCGCUCUGCUGGACUGCAACUGACACUAAAGGACGAAAGCUAGGGGAGCGAAUGGGAUUAGAUACCCCAG